ACCUAGAACCCACAAAGGGUGUUGG
rnacentral:siRNA from 1 species